UAGGGGGUAUAUCAUCUAAUUUCAGAAAUACAGUAUUAUUGAAGGCCUCAUAAAGUCCACAAUGUUAAAUGGUUGCCAAUAUUGUAAACAUAAAAGAAACAGACAAGAUACCUAAAAUUGCAACUUGGUGCUUUUAUCUGGUUUACUGUCUUCUAAGAAACUAACUGGGACCAAAGGCUAGAGUUUAUGUAGAACGGAGGAUCUUUGGAUACAGAUCUAAAGGUAAACUACAUUGUGACAAGAGCCCAAGAAAAUAUAGUCUGUAAUAAUAAAUAUUACUGAUAGUUUAAAAAUGGUUAACUGUGAAAAAGUUUGAAACUUUCAACUUUUUUUUCUCAAAAUAAUAAGCACUUAGCACCAACUUGCCAUUACCAGAAAAGCUGCCAUUCCAAUUUGCUAUUUAAAUUUGUCCCAGAAAAGUAAACAUCUUAUAGGUGGAAACAGAUUUGUAUAAUGCGUUGUCGUCAUCGUGAUCAUCAUCAUCAUCAUCAUCAUCAUCAUCAUCAUCAUCAUAACUAGCUACCAACAAACAGUUUUCUCUCAGUCAACAAGGGACUCGUUUUUUUUUUCUGGCAUCACUGAAACAUCCUUAGUAAAGAUCAACUUAAUUGUUCUUAGCAAACAACUCUUAUACAAACAUCAUCUUAGCAUCUUUUCCUAAUCCAAUAAAAAUUCUUCCCAAUUUACUUCCAAACCAUUCCCUAUGUACCUCUCACACCUCCAUCCACAAACACUUUAAACAGCUUUCCCCUUCCUGCUCUCAAACUUCCAAACCAAUGUCUCAGUUCCCAGAAACUUAAGUAAAAGACAUAUACUUCUUACACUCUUCAAUUCAAAAUUUCUUAACACUAAUUUAGACACACUCUUCAAAUUAUCAACUUAAAUCUUAAAGGGAAAACAGCAGGAAAAAACACUGCCCAAUUAGCUCACAAUAUGGAAAUCUUUCUGGAUCAUCAGUUAGCUAUGUUCUAAGGCAGGAGUUAGCAAUGUCUUUACUUCUUUUUGAAGGGGGGUAAGCUUGAGUGCCACUGGCAGGCCUAUGGCAAGAAGAAUAAAGAAAAAGAAAGAAACAAGGGAAAAGGAGGAUAGGAGAGACAAGAUGUCAGAUGUAUAAGAUAAGUGGUAGCUUAAGAGCCUCCAACAACUAAUUGCACUGAAAAUCGCCAAGCUACUCGAGCUGAAGGGGAGUUUGACCCAACUUCAAUAUGAAUUUAAUAAAUCAUUACCUGAUGGUCCAUCACUGUUUGAGCUAGUCUAGGUGACUAGAAGUCAUUUGUGCCAUAACUUUUAACUGCCACUUCACAACAAAAACAUCUUUUCUUACAUCUACCUAGAAGCCUUCUGCUUAACACAUUUUAGAUCAAAAUAUAUACUAACAAGAGUAUUUCCAUGUUUUUCACAAAUCUAGAAUAGAAGGUCUUGGUCCUUAAACAUAGAAGCUUCCUCAUUAUUAAAGUAGACCCUAAAUAAAGAUAAUUUUCCAUUGUUACAAAAAUUUAAUUAGUAAAUCACUAGUAAUCAACAAAACAAAAUAUGUAUUCAUGAAAGCACAAAAAUCUUGUGAUUCCAAAAUGAAUAAAAUAUUUCUGGUUUAUAAGAAACAAUUUUAUUUUAC
ensembl:lncRNA